rnacentral:rRNA from 1 species
GGGGAAUCUUCCGCAAUGGACGAAAGUCUGACGGAGCAACGCCGCGUGAGUGAUGACGGCCUUCGGAUUGUAAACCUCUGUCCUCGGGGACGAUAAUGACGGUACCCGAGGAGGAAGCUCCGGCUAACUACGUGCCAGCAGCCGCGGUAAUACGUAGGGAGCAAGCGUUGUCCGGAUUUACUGGGUGUAAAGGGUGCGUAGGCGGCAGUGCAAGUCAGGUGUGAAAACUAUGGGCUUAACCCAUAGAUUGCACUUGAAACUGUGUUGCUUGAGUGAAGUAGAGGCAAGCGGAAUUCCCGGUGUAGCGGUGAAAUGCGUAGAGAUCGGGAGGAACACCAGUGGCGAAGGCGGCUUGCUGGGCUUUAACUGACGCUGAGGCACGAAAGCGUGGGUAGCAAACA